rnacentral:rRNA from 1 species
CCUACGGGAGGCAGCAGUGGGGGAUAUUGCACAAUGGGGGAAACCCUGAUGCAGCGACGCCGCGUGGGCGAAGAAGUAUUUCGGUAUGUAAAGCCCUAUCAGCAGGGAAGAAGAAAUGACGGUACCUGAGUAAGAAGCACCGGCUAAAUACGUGCCAGCAGCAGCGGUAAUACGUAUGGUGCAAGCGUUAUCCGGAUUUACUGGGUGGAAAGGGAGCGCAGGCGGCACGGCAAGCCUGAUGUGAAAGCCCGCGGCCCAACCGCGGGACUGCAUUGGGAACUACCGGGCUGGAGUGCCGGAGAGGUAGGCGGAAUUCCUAGUGUAGCGGUGAAAUGCGUAGAUAUUAGGAGGAACACCAGUGGCGAAGGCGGCCUACUGGACGGUGACUGACGCUGAGGCUCGAAAGCGUGGGGAGCAAACAGGAUUAGAUACCCUAGUAGUC